UACGUAGGGUGCGAGCGUUGUCCGGAAUUAUUGGGCGUAAAGAGCUUGUAGGCGGUUUGUCGCGUCAGAUGUGAAAGCCCCGGGCUCAACCUGGGAACUGCAUUUGAAACUGGCGGGCUUGAGUAUGGCAGAGGGGGGUGGAAUUCCGCGUGUAGCAGUGAAAUGCGUAGAGAUGCGGAGGAACACCGAUGGCGAAGGCAGCCCCCUGGGCCAAUACUGACGCUCAGGCACGAAAGCGUGGGGAGCAAACAGG
rnacentral:rRNA from 1 species